GGCAAUUGUCAGAAAGUGAUGCCCAGGAAAGAUUUAAAGCAAAAUUCAACAAUCUUAUCAUAUCAGGGUGCAGGCAAAUAAGGAACCUGUGAAUUAUGAAAUAUUCAACUCUGCACUCAUUCCCUUAGUGCUCUACUGUCACUGUAUCUAAUAUCUAAUAAUACCAUAAAUGGUAAAAUGCCAUCGCCGCUAAAGGUAGUGCACAACAUCAAAGCAUCAUUUAACACAACGGUAACUGACAAGGGAAUCAACAAGUCCACCGCCGUAAGUAAUUUUCACCACCUGCCCCUUCUCCAAUCCAUAAUAUCGUGCAAUAGCAUCAGUUUCUAGCAUCCUUGGCAACUGCUUGUCUUCAGUCUUAUACUUGUUCAACAGCUGUUGCUUCAGUUCAGCAGUCAAUAUCUCAUGCGUUGGCUGUAUAACAUGCUUGGUGAUAUUCAACAGCAAUUCAGUGAUUUGAAAAAUCUCAACUUUACAUUGCAAUUUAUCCAACUCUUUUCGUGCAAAAUGGUUCAUUUUGCUUUGCAAGAUGAGCAUCAACCCAUGUAAACUUUCUUUGUUUGGAAUAUGGCUAAGAAGACCACGUAUAGCUGCCGUUCUGAUCUCAUCUGACCCCAGGAAGACAACCAGUAU
rnacentral:misc_RNA from 1 species